ACGAUGGAGCAGUGUCUCAUGCUACGGCCUAGAGGCGCGUCCCUACACGGUAUGUAGUCUUGGCGAGUGAAUCCGACCUCCUGAGGGAAUUGGCCAUGGGUGAAGACUGUCCAACAUCUGGCUGAAGACGACGGUCAUAUGGUGUACCUCUUUUGCUAGGGAUAGCUUCUCUCGUGAGAGUAAGCUGAGUACUAUCGAAUAGCAUCGGCUGACUCCGCACAGCAGCGCGUAAUACUGAGGGUGCAAGCGUAUCCGGAUUUAUGGGAUUAAAGGUUCCGUAGGCGGAUCUGUAAGUCAGUGGUGAAAUCUCACAGCUUACUGUGAAGCUGCCAUUGAUACUGCAGGUCUUGAGUGUUGUUGAAGUAGCUGGAAUAAGUAGUGUAGCGGUGAAAUGCAUAGAUAUUACUUAGAACACCAAUUGCGAAGGCAGGUUACUAAGCAACAACUGACGCUGAUGGACGAAAGCGUGGGGAGCGAACAGGAUUAGAUACCCUGGUAGUCCACGCCGUAAACGAUGCUAACUCGUUUUUGGGUCUUUAAGAUUCAGAGACUAAGCGAAAGUGAUAAGUUAGCCACCUGGGGAGUACGUUCGCAAGAAUGAAACUCAAAGGAAUUGACGGGGGCCCGCACAAGCGGUGGAUUAUGUGGUUUAAUUCGAUGAUACGCGAGGAACCUUACCAAGGCUUAAAUGGGAAAUGACAGGUUUAGAAAUAGACUUUUCUUCGGACAUUUUUCAAGGUGCUGCAUGGUUGUCGUCAGCUCGUGCCGUGAGGUGUUAGGUUAAGUCCUGCAACGAGCGCAACCCCUGUCACUAGUUGCCAUCAUUAAGUUGGGGACUCUAGUGAGACUGCCUACGCAAGUAGAGAGGAAGGUGGGGAUGACGUCAAAUCAUCACGGCCCUUACGCCUUGGGCCACACACGUAAUACAAUGGCCAGUACAGAGGGCAGCUACACAGCGAUGUGAUGCAAAUCUCGAAAGCUGGUCUCAGUUCGGAUUGGAGUCUGCAACUCGACUCUAUGAAGCUGGAAUCGCUAGUAAUCGCGCAUCAGCCAUGGCGCGGUGAAUACGUUCCCGGGCCUUGUACACACCGCCCGUCAAGCCAUGGAAGUCUGGGGUACCUGAAGUCGGUGACCGUAAUAGGAGCUUACUAAGUGACUAUAACAUUCCGG
rnacentral:rRNA from 1 species